ensembl:lncRNA
CACAACUAAGCUAUCAUUGUAUUAGCUGCAUUGGAUUUGGAUUUAGCUGCUACAAUGCCAUUGCUGCACAAACAACACAUGAACGAGAGCGUUGGAGUGGCGGGCGGCCUGCUUGAUAUGCACGCUCACAGCCGCGCGCUAGGACGUCGCUCUCUGCCAAGCGCGUGAUUAAUUAACAUCCAGCUCGUAACCCCCGAAUUAGCGCCGGAGCACACGGGCUAAUGAGCUCACUGUGAUCCUGCAGGUUACAAUGACUCCUCCACCACAUCCAUCAGACCCAUCAGGCUCAGCUCUGAACGACAGAGAUGGACGUGACACUGGGAGAACGACUAGGCCUACACAGAAAAACCCAAGCAGAUACUGAAGACAUUACUAUUAUAAACU